UGUCUUGACCAUGCAAAUUAUCUUACUUAGCCAUGUGUUUCUUUUUUUUCAGCACACACAUGACAACUUAGAAUCUGUCAAAGUCCUUGUAACCAUUUUUAAAGAUAAGAAAGAGAUCUGUAAAAAAAUUCUUCAUGUCAGCAGUGCCAAAGAUAUCAUAGGUCAAAGCCAAGCUCAUCACGUGGGCUGUGUGCUUGAUAGGUUGCUAAAGUAUAACACUGAUUUCAUGGAAUAUAUUGAUGUUGACAGUGAGGUAGACGUUAAGGACUUUGAUAGAUUCCAUAUCUUCCUGUCAGCCAGAGGGCCACAGAUGGAAACCUCUCUUGGGGAGACUAGUCAAAAUCAGUCUACCACUACCACAGAAGAACAAAGUCAACCCCUAAAGUCACUGCUUAAGAGGAAAGCCCCACAGAUUCUUAAGGAGUAUGAGACUACGGGUACCCUGUCAGUCCCAUCGAGGAAGCUUCUUGUGAAGACUUGCAUAGGGGAUUUGGUGGAGAGGUGUGGUUAUUACCCUCAUAGUGCAGAGAAGUUGACUGUAGCAAAAAGCAUCAUCACCACUUUUCCAUCCCUGAGUGUCCAAGUGGCAGGACAGGGGGAAGGAUUUGAGCAUUAUUAUGAUCCAGUCUGUCACUGUGGAUUCCUAGAGACUAAACUGCGCAACCUUAGACGGAAUCUCGAACAGGGGCAGAGGCGUUAUAGGAAGCGAAAAGUGACAGAUGACUGCAGUGAAGACAAGAAGCUCAGGUGAGAGGAUGGGAAUACCAGCAGCACAGAUGAGUGGGUCACCCUUAUCAAAAGAUUGCGGCCCUCAGCUGAGAACCUUUCAGCUAUCAUGUCAGGCAUGGAGGAAACAUACAACAGUCGCAGAGCCUGGAUUAGCAAGGACUCCCCUACUGUUGCUGAAAUAUUGAGCGAGUAUCCACGGUUUUUGGACGUGCCAAGUCUGCUGGACUUAGAGUUUGGCAAGCUUACAGGAGGAAAGACGGAUCUCUUUUUACGAAAAUGGGAAGCCAGUAUCAUUCCAAAACUCAGAUCAGUGGCUGCCCUGGAAACAAGAAUGUCCUCUCUGCUGAAGGAUUUUGAAGAGAAGACUGAAGAUGAGGCUUGUUACACUGCCCUUGUAGUGUUAACACAUCUGCUCCCACCAGUUGGUGCCAGUCGUUGCAGCCUUAAAUCAGCUAUUACGCACUUGAUUGAUUUUGCACUGCCUGGAACAAGUAUUGCAUCACUUUGCAGUGAUCCUGAAGCAUCAUCCACAACACACCAACCCCAGCUGAUAUGCAUCGGUGAUCUAAAGAGUGCAACCAGGCAGUACGUCAUUGUUGCUAAGAAUGACAAAGUAACCAUUCCUCUGAAUGAUGGCCUGACGUGUGCUGUGGAUAAACUUUUCAAACUGUACUGGGUAUGUAACUUGUCCUAUCCAGCAUCACUUGGCUCUGUCUUCACCUUCUUUGAGUUUGUCUAUGACCUGCCGCUGUCCACGCAAAGGAAAACCAAAGUACUGGAGCUGAUUGCUCAGAUUAAAGCAUGCAAAUAAAAUGUUCACCUGUCCAAAGUGUAGAGAGUCUGUGUUCACAGAGGUGAGAAACCUCAUUUGGCAUCUUCGUCAAAUACACUGCUUAUCAG